rnacentral:rRNA from 1 species
UAAUAUGGCCAUAUCACUCUGAGCACAUCCAAUCUCAUCUGAUCUCAGAAGCUAAGCAGGGUGGGUUUUUGUUAGUACUUGAAUGGGAGACUGACUGGGAAUACAAGGUACUAUAGCUU